rnacentral:lncRNA from 1 species
GUUGCGGGGCCGCGGCGGCGGCGCCAUGUUGCCGAGGGGGGCGGGGCCGGGACAUGGCGGCGACUGCGCGUGUUGAGGCUGAUUGUUCCUAGCUAGGCCGCGGCCAUGUGGGAGCCGCUGUGGCCGCCGGCCGUGCGGGCGAGAAAAUGCGCGGCCCGAAAGCGAGGACGCGCUGUACUAAACAAGCAAGCACUAGGGGAAAAAACUUCAAAGGUCGAUGCUACAGAAUUUGCCCUGAAGAAUAAAGAUUUGUUGUAUGAAAGGAUGGGCAACAGUUCAUUGGUUUAG